GAUUGAUAUAAACAUCAUAUAUCAGUCCUAGUUUAAAUAUUUGCAGAUAUAUAGUAUCGAGUUAAUAUUUACUUUUAAUCUCUAAAUAACAUGCAUUCAGUUAUUAUUUGAUAUUAACAUCAUUAUAUAUUUAAAAAAUUGUUUUGAAAAUCAUACACUACCCGCCGCGAAUAGCUUUGCUAAUUGCGGGAUCGUGUAAUCAAAAUG